UGGGGAAUCUUGCACAAUGGGGGCAACCCUGAUGCAGCGACGCCGCGUGAGCGAUGAAGCCCUUCGGGGCGUAAAGCUCUUUCGACCGGAACGAUAAUGACGGUACCGGGAGAAGAAGCUGCGGCUAACUACGUGCCAGCAGCCGCGGUAAUACGUAGGACCCAAGCGGUGUCCGGAUUUACUGGGUGUAAAGGGUGCGCAGGCGGAUGGGUAAGUCAGGGGUGAAAGUCUGCAGCUUAACUGUAGAAUUGCCUUUGAUACUGCUCAGCUUGAGUGUGGGAGAGGUUGAUGGAAUGCCCGGUGUAGCAGUGAAAUGCGUAGAUAUCUGGAAGAACACCAGUGGCGAAGGCGGUCAACUGGCCCAUAACUGACGCUCAUGCACGAAAGCGUGGGGAGCAAACA
rnacentral:rRNA from 1 species